rnacentral:rRNA from 1 species
GAGGAAAAGAAACCAACAGGGAUUACCUCAGUAACGGCGAGUGAAGCGGUAACAGCUCAAAUUUGAAAUCUGGGUCUUUCAGGCUCCGAGUUGUAAUUUGUAGAAGAUGCUUCGGGUGCGGCUCCGGUCUAAGUUCCUUGGAACAGGACGUCAUAGAGGGUGAGAAUCCCGUAUGUGAUCGGUUGCUUGCGCCCAUGUGAAGCUCUUUCGACGAGUCGAGUUGUUUGGGAAUGCAGCUCAAAAUGGGUGGUAAAUUUCAUCUAAAGCUAAAUAUUGGCCAGAGACCGAUAGCGCACAAGUAGAGUGAUCGAAAGAUGAAAAGCACUUUGGAAAGAGAGUUAAACAGUACGUGAAAUUGUUGAAAGGGAAGCGCUUGCAACCAGACUUGCGCGUUGCCGAUCAUCUGGGGUUCUCCCCAGUGCACUCGGCCUCGCUCAGGCCAGCAUCGGUUUCGGUGGUGGGAUAAAGGCCUUGGGAAUGUAGCUCCUCUCGGGGAGUGUUAUAGCCCUCGGUGCAAUGCCGCCUACCGGGACCGAGGACCGCGCUUCGGCUAGGAUGCUGGCGUAAUGGUUGUAAGCGACCCGUCUUGAAACACGGACCAAGGAGUCUAACAUCUAUGCGAGUGUUUGGGUGUCAAACCCAUACGCGUAAUGAAAGUGAACGGAGGUGAGAACCCUUAAGGGUGCAUCAUCGACCGAUCCUGAUGUCUUCGGAUGGAUUUGAGUAAGAGCAUAGCUGUUGGGACCCGAAAGAUGGUGAACUAUGCCUGAAUAGGGUGAAGCCAGAGGAAACUCUGGUGGAGGCUCGCAGCGGUUCUGACGUGCAAAUCGAUCGUCAAAUUUGGGUAUAGGGGCGAAAGACUAAUCGAACCAUCUAGUAGCUGGUUCCUGCCGAA